rnacentral:siRNA from 1 species
CUCUGGUGGAAGCCCGCAGCG